GUCCCAGCCUGGCUGCAGCGGAGAGCGCGGGGCCAGCUCUGCAGAGGCGGCGGCUGGCUGGCCCGGACGGUCACAUCCCGCUGCAGGGGGCCAGCCUCGGCCGCCGCACUGUCCUCUGCACCGGGGACGCAGGCCAGCUGCCAGGCCUCGCCGGCAACGCCCCUUGCUCCGACACAGACUACGCGCGGCCCUCGGGAACGCUGGGGGCCCCUCAGAUUCGCGGCCCGCGGCCACUCCGCCUCUGUCCUCUCUGCCCGCAGCUCGGCCGGCGCUGCCCGCCUAGGCGGGAACGCGUCGGGAUGGGGUAGGGCCAGCGCCAGUCUGGCAAUGGGCCGCCCCCUGGGCACCGAACAAUCCCCAGAGGCCUGACCGACCACGAGGACCCGGCGGAUCCCCGCCUGGAUGUUAAGCGGAUGCCUCCGGGCCCCUCGGUGAACUCGGUGGAAACCAUGGCUUCUUUGAUGCCUCUUUCCCCAUAUCUGAGUCCCACUGUUCUCCUGCUGGUCAGCUGUGACCUGGGCAUUGUGCGAGCAGGUGAGUGAAGAGGACGCCCGCAGUGGGGGUCCGUCAGACUAGUGUGGAAGUGAAACCUCUUAACCUGUCAACACCCUGGCACCCCCGGACCGACCUCCCUCUCCUGUGAAUGUGACGGUCUCACCUCAGAGCCAACUCGGCCACUGUGUCCUGGAAUGUCCCAGAAGGCAACAUCGUCAUUGGCUACUCCAUUUCCCAGCAACGACAGAAAGGCCC